GCCUGGCUGGCUCAGUUGGUAGAGCAUGCAACUCUUGAUCUCGGGGUCAUGAGCUCAAGUCCCAUGUUGGGUG
rnacentral:tRNA from 1 species